AACGAACGCUGGCGGCAGGCUUAACACAUGCAAGUCGAGCGCCCCGCAAGGGGAGCGGCAGACGGGUGAGUAACGCGUGGGAAUCUACCCAUCUCUACGGAAUAACGCAUGGAAACGUGUGCUAAUACCGUAUACGUCCUUCGGGAGAAAGAUUUAUCGGAGAUGGAUGAGCCCGCGUUGGAUUAGCAAGUUGGUGGGGUAAAGGCCUACCAAGGCGACGAUCCAUAGCUGGUCUGAGAGGAUGAUCAGCCACACUGGGACUGAGACACGGCCCAGACUCCUACGGGAGGUAGCAGUGGGGAAUAUUGGACAAUGGGCGCAAGCCUGAUCCAGCCAUGCCGCGUGAGUGAUGAAGGCCCUAGGGUUGUAAAGCUCUUUCACCGGUGAAGAUAAUGACGGUAACCGGAGAAGAAGCCCCGGCUAACUUCGUGCCAGCCGCCGCCGUAAGAC
rnacentral:rRNA from 1 species